AUUAGGGCCAACAAUAAAAACAUAAGCGAUAUAAAUAAAACUGUUUUGCCUUACACGGACACGUAAUCUGAGGAAAUAAGGACGACUGAUUAAAAUGAGAUUGAAGCAGCGGAAUAUCACCCCCGUAUUAAAAAUCACGUGAAAGCGGAAGUGCGCUCUUAUCACGUGUCUCAGGCAGUUUCCGAGAUAUAAAGCGCCAGCAGCCAGAAAGAGAGAUCCUUCGGCCAGCAGAGGGAGAUGGUGUACAGCACAGAUCACAACACGCAGGUUGCAGAUGGGAGCAUCACUGUGGACGAGGGAGGUACCACCAUCUUACCCUGCAAGCUAACACAGAAGUUAUCAGAAAAUGACAACGUGGAACAGAUUUCAUGGCAGAGAAAGACGAAAGGAAAACCGAAAUUGGACAAUUUCUUUACCAUCACAAAGGAUGACGCUCGUCUCGUUAACGGGCCUGACAGGAGAUUUGAAUUUAUCGGGGCAUUUGCUGAACAUAAUGGGACUCUCAAGCUAUCUAAUGCAAGCGUGUUGGACACUGGAAUCUACUCUUGCGUCUUUUCCAUUUUCCCCUCAGGAUAUCCUACAAUAAAAAUAGAGUUAACUGUCCGUGUACCUCAACGAAGAAGUGUAGAGAGUACCCAACCCACUCUUGGAAACAAAGAGGUUCCUCUCGCGACCUGCACCGCUUCCGGAUUCAAACCACCGGCCUCGAUUUCGUGGCAAACUGAUGAUGGUUUAAAAGACAAAGUGAGAUGGACAAACAGCUCAACUCUCCAAAUCAGCGAUACAACCACCACAGUGAGCACAUUGUUUGGAAAGCCCACCAAAGAGAUCAACAGAAAUAAGGUCCAAUGUGUCAUCUCCUUUGAGGGACAAAGCGAAAUCCUAGACUUCGAAAUACAGAUCUACUAUCCACCUCUGAAUGUGAACAUCAAAAAACAACCAAAGGGUCUGGUUUUCACCUGUGAGGCUGAAGGCAACCCAAACCCAACAGUUACCUGGAGCAGGUCAGGCGACGUUCUGUCUCCAUCAAUCUUGGCUCAGGGGGCCUCGCUGACAUUUGUGAAGGAAUCUCAAGACCUGGCUGGUGUCUACCAGUGUGACGCAAAUAACAAAUACGGAAGUUACCAGAGUUUCCUCUACGUGGAUUUCUCAGUAACAAGCUCCAUAACUGGCUGGAUUUUUUUUAGUAUUCUUCUUCUGAUCAUUGUGGCAGCUGGCUUUGCUGCAUUUCUGCACAAACGUGGAUGUUUUGAACUUCCGAGGUUUCUAAGGCCUGACAGAGACGCAGUGCGAACAUCCUCACCAGACGAAGCAGCAAAUGAAAAUGCUGCACUAUAACACCAGAGGGAAAGAGAUGGAUCCUAAUACGUCCAAGCAAAUACUAAAACUUAAGCUUGACCAUCUUUGGCAGAGAUUGAAACAACAGGAUGCUGGCUUGCUGACUCGAUUCCUGCCUCUGUCGUUGUGUCCUUUAG